rnacentral:rRNA from 1 species
UGGAUGAGUGGCGAACGGGUGAGUAACACGUGAGUAACCUGCCCCUUCUUUGGGAUAACGCCCGGAAACGGGUGCUAAUACUGGAUAUUCACUGGCCUUCGCAUGGGGGUUGGUGGAAAGGUUUGUUCUGGUGGGGGAUGGGCUCGCGGCCUAUCAGCUUGUUGGUGGGGUGAUGGCCUACCAAGGCUUUGACGGGUAGCCGGCCUGAGAGGGUGACCGGUCACAUUGGGACUGAGAUACGGCCCAG